AGGACGAACGCUGGCGGCGUGCUUAACACAUGCAAGUCGAACGGAAAGGCCCUGCUUUUGUGGGGUGCUCGAGUGGCGAACGGGUGAGUAACACGUGAGUAACCUGCCCUUGACUUUGGGAUAACUUCAGGAAACUGGGGCUAAUACCGGAUAGGAGCUCCUGCUGCAUGGUGGGGGUUGGAAAGUUUCGGCGGUUGGGGAUGGACUCGCGGCUUAUCAGCUUGUUGGUGGGGUAGUGGCUUACCAAGGCUUUGACGGGUAGCCGGCCUGAGAGGGUGACCGGCCACAUUGGGACUGAGAUACGGCCCAGACUCCUACGGGAGGCAGCAGUGGGGAAUAUUGCACAAUGGGCGGAAGCCUGAUGCAGCAACGCCGCGUGCGGGAUGACGGCCUUCGGGUUGUAAACCGCUUUCGCCUGUGACGAAGCGUGAGUGACGGUAAUGGGUAAAGAAGCACCGGCUAACUACGUGCCAGCAGCCGCGGUGAUACGUAGGGUGCGAGCGUUGUCCGGAUUUAUUGGGCGUAAAGGGCUCGUAGGUGGUUGAUCGCGUCGGAAGUGUAAUCUUGGGGCUUAACCCUGAGCGUGCUUUCGAUACGGGUUGACUUGAGGAAGGUAGGGGAGAAUGGAAUUCCUGGUGGAGCGGUGGAAUGCGCAGAUAUCAGGAGGAACACCAGUGGCGAAGGCGGUUCUCUGGGCCUUUCCUGACGCUGAGGAGCGAAAGCGUGGGGAGCGAACAGGCUUAGAUACCCUGGUAGUCCACGCUGUAAACGGUGGGUACUAGGUGUGGGGUCCAUUCCACGGGUUCCGUGCCGUAGCUAACGCUUUAAGUACCCCGCCUGGGGAGUACGGCCGCAGGGCUAAAACUCAAAGGAAUUGACGGGGCCCCGCACAAGCGGCGGAGCAUGCGGAUUAAUUCGAUGCAACGCGUAGAACCUUACCUGGGUUUGACAUGGAUCGGGAGUGCUCAGAGAUGGGUGUGCCUCUUUUGGGGUCGGUUCACAGGUGGUGCAUGGCUGUCGUCAGCUCGUGUCGUGAGAUGUUGGGUUAAGUCCCGCAACGAGCGCAACCCUUGUUCACUGUUGCCAGCACGUUAUGGUGGGGACUCAGUGGAGACCGCCGGGGUCAACUCGGAGGAAGGUGGGGAUGACGUCAAGUCAUCAUGCCCCUUAUGUCCAGGGCUUCACGCAUGCUACAAUGGCUGGUACAGAGAGUGGCGAGCCUGUGAGGGUGAGCGAAUCUCGGAAAGCCGGUCUCAGUUCGGAUUGGGGUCUGCAACUCGACCUCAUGAAGUCGGAGUCGCUAGUAAUCGCAGAUCAGCAACGCUGCGGUGAAUACGUUCCCGGGGCUUGUACACACCGCCCGUCAAGUCAUGAAAGUUGGUAACACCCGAAGCCGGUGGCCUAACCGUCGUGGGGGAGCCGUCGGAGGUG
rnacentral:rRNA from 1 species